rnacentral:rRNA from 1 species
AUACGGAGGAUCCGAGCGUUAUCCGGAUUUAUUGGGUUUAAAGGGUGCGCAGGCGGCCAUUUAAGUCAGCGGUUAAAUCGUGGGGCUCCACCCCAUUCUGCCGUUGAUACUGGGUGGCUUGAUUGCGGUCGAGGUUGGCGGAAUUCGUUGUGUAGCGGGGAAAUGCAUAGAUAUGACGAAGAACACCGAUUGCGUAGGCAGCUGACCAGACCGCAAAUGACGCUCAUGCACGAAAGUGCGGGGAUCGAACAGGAUUAGAUACCCUGGUAGUCCGCACAGUAAACGAUGAAUACUUGUUUUCGGCGAUAUAAUGUCGGAGGCAAAGCGAAAGCGAUAAGUAUUCCACCUGGGGAGUACGCCGGCAACGGUGAAACUCAAAUGAAUUGACGGGG